rnacentral:misc_RNA from 1 species
AUUGAUGAAUCAGGUUUCCUGCAGUCCCCGGAAAAUGUGGGCCAAGUAAACCCACCAACUAGAACCUUUGUUAAGGUUUACAAGUCAGGGUCCUUCGGUAGGUCACUAGACAUUACCAAAUUCAGCAGUUACAAUGAAUUGCGGAGUGAGCUUGCUCAUAUGUUUGGCCUUGAAGGCCAGCUGGAGGACCCUCUGAGAUCAGGCUGGCAGCUUGUAUUUGUUGACCGUGAGAAUGAUGUUCUGCUCCUUGGUGAUGACCCCUGGCCGGAAUUUGUAAACAGUGUGUGGUGCAUCAAAAUACUCUCACCACAAGAA